rnacentral:rRNA from 1 species
AAGGAAUAUUGGACAAUGGUCGCAAGACUGAUCCAGCCAUGCCGCGUGCAGGAAGACGGCCCUAUGGGUUGUAAACUGCUUUUGUACCAGAGAAAACCUAUCUACGUGUAGAUAGCUGAUAGUAUGGUAAGAAUAAGCAUCGGCUAACUUCGUGCCAGCAGCCGCGGUAAGACGAAGGAUGCAAGCGUUAUCCGGAUUCAUUGGGCUUAAAGGGUGCGUAGGCGGGCUUGUAAGUCAGUGGUGAAAUCUCUCAGCUUAACUGAGAAACUGCCAUUGGUACUGCAGACCUAGAGUAUAGAUGACGUUGGCGGAAUAUGACAUGUAGUGGUGAAAUACUUAGAUAUGUCAUAGAACACCGAUUGCGAAGGCAGCUAACGAAACUAUAACUGACGCUGAGGCACGAAAGUGCGGGGAUCAAACA